rnacentral:rRNA from 1 species
UCAGACGACCAUAGCGGAUUGGUUCCACCUGUUCCCAUUUCGAACACAGAAGUUAAGCAAUCCCACGUUCCAGGUUGUACUGCACUUUGCUGUGGGAACCCUGGUUAGUUGUCUACU